rnacentral:rRNA from 1 species
ACGGAAGGCAGCAGUGAGGAAUAUUGGUCAAUGGGCGGAAGCCUGAACCAGCCAAGUCGCGUGAAGGAUGAAGGUAUUAUGUAUUGUAAACUUCUUUAGCUGUGGAGCAAUAAUCUCCAUGUAUGGAGAGAUGAGAGUACACAGAGAAUAAGGAUCGGCUAACUCCGUGCCAGCAGCCGCGGUAAUACGGAGGAUCCGAGCGUUAUCCGGAUUUAUUGGGUUUAAAGGGUGCGCAGGCGGCUUUCUAAGUCAGUGGUCAAAUCGUGGUGCUCAACGCCAUCCCGCCAUUGAUACUGGAGAGCUUGAUUGCGGUCGAGGUUUGCGGAAUUCGUCGUGUAGCGGUGAAGUGCAUAGAUAUGACGAAGAACACCGAUUGCGUAGGCAGCAGACCAGGCCGUAAAUGACGCUCAUGCACGAAAGUGCGGGGAUCGAACAGGAUUAGAUACCCUGGUA